CCACAGGGAUUGCCUCAGUAACGGCGAGUGAAGCGGCAACAGCUCAAAUUUGAAAUCUGGCCCCCCGGCCCGAGUUGUAAUUUGCAGAGGAUGCUUCUGGCGCGGUGCCUUCCAAGUCCCCUGGAACGGGGCGCCAUAGAGGGUGAGAGCCCCGUCGGGUCGGCCGCCAAGCCUGUGUGAAGCUCCUUCGACGAGUCGAGUAGUUUGGGAAUGCUGCUCUAAACGGGAGGUAGACCCCUUCUAAAGCUAAAUACCGGCCAGAGACCGAUAGCGCACAAGUAGAGUGAUCGAAAGAUGAAAAGCACUUUGAAAAGAGGGUUAAACAGUACGUGAAAUUGUUGAAAGGGAAGCGCUUGUGACCAGACGUGCGCCGGGUGUUCAGCGGGCGUUUUCGCCCGUGCAUUCGCCCCGGCGCAGGCCAGCGUCGGUUUGGGCGGGGGGAUAAAGGCGCCAGGAACGUAUCUCCCCCGGGAGUGUUAUAGCCUGGUGCGUCAUGCCCCCGCCUGGACCGAGGUUCGCGCUCCGCAAGGACGCUGGCGUAAUGGUCCCCAGCGGCCCGUCUUGAAACACGGACCAAGGAGUCGAGGUUUUACGCGAGUGUCUGGGUGUCAAACCCGCACGCGUAAUGAAAGUGAACGUAGGUGGGAGCUUCGGCGCACCACCGACCGAUCCUGAUGUUUUCGGAUGGAUUUGAGUAGGAGCGUAGGGCCUCGGACCCGAAAGAUGGUGAACUAUACUUGGAUAGGGUGAAGCCAGAGGAAACUCUGGUGGAGGCUCGCAGCGGUUCUGACGUGCAAAUCGAUCGUCAAAUCUGAGUAUGGGGGCGAAAGACUAAUCGAACCAU
rnacentral:rRNA from 1 species